UACGUAGGGCGCAAGCGUUAUCCGGAAUUAUUGGGCGUAAAGAGCUCGUAGGCGGUUUGUCGCGUCUGCCGUGAAAGUCCGGGGCUCAACUCCGGAUCUGCGGUGGGUACGGGCAGACUAGAGUGAUGUAGGGGAGAGUGGAAUUCCUGGUGUAGCGGUGAAAUGCGCAGAUAUCAGGAAGAACACCCGUGGCGAAGGCGGCUCUCUGGGACGGUACUGACGCUGAGACGCGAAAGCGUGGGGAGCGAACAGG
rnacentral:rRNA from 1 species